UACGUAGGGUGCGAGCGUUAAUCGGAAUUACUGGGCGUAAAGCGUGCGCAGGCGGUCUUGCAAGACAGAUGUGAAAUCCCCGGGCUUAACCUGGGAACUGCAUUUGUGACUGCAUGGCUAGAGUGCGGCAGAGGGGGAUGGAAUUCCGCGUGUAGCAGUGAAAUGCGUAGAUAUGCGGAGGAACACCGAUGGCGAAGGCAAUCCCCUGGGCCUGCACUGACGCUCAUGCACGAAAGCGUGGGGAGCAAACAGG
rnacentral:rRNA from 1 species